UACGGAGGAUGCGAGCGUUAUCCGGAUUUAUUGGGUGUAAAGGGAGCGCAGGCGGCGCGGCAAGUCAGAUGUGAAAGCCCGGGGCUCAACCCCGGGACUGCAUUUGAAACUGCCGUGCUGGAGUGUCGGAGAGGCAAGUGGAAUUCCUAGUGUAGCGGUGAAAUGCGUAGAUAUUAGGAGGAACACCAGUGGCGAAGGCGGCUUGCUGGACGAUAACUGACGCUGAGGCUCGAAAGCGUGGGGAGCAAACAGG
rnacentral:rRNA from 1 species